GUCCACGCCCUAAACGAUGUCUACUAGUUGUCGGGUCUUAAUUGACUUGGUAACGCAGCUAACGCGUGAAGUAGACCGCCUGGGAGUACGGUCGCAAGAUUAAAACUCAAGGAAUUGACGGGACCCGCACAAGCGGUGGAUGAUGUGGAUUAAUUCGAUGCAACGCGAAAACCUUACCUACCCUUGACAUGGCUGGAAUCCUGAAGAGAUUUAGGAGUGCUCGAAAGAGAACCAGUACACAGGUGCUGCAUGGCUGUCGU
rnacentral:rRNA from 1 species